AUCAACUUUCGAUGGUAGGAUAGAGGCCUACCAUGGUGGUAACGGGUAACGGGGUGUUAGGGCACGACACCGGAGAGGGAGCCUGAGAAACGGCUACCACAUCCAAGGAUGGCAGCAGGCGCGCAAAUUACCCAAUCCCGACACGGGGAGGUAGUGACAAUAAAUAACAAUACGGGGUUCUUUCGGAUCUCGUAAUUGGAAUGAGUACAAUUUAAAUCUCUUAACGAGGAACAAUUGGAGGGCAAGUCUGGUGCCAGCAGCCGCGGUAAUUCCAGCUCCAAUAGCGUAUAUUAAAGUUGUUGCAGUUAAAAAGCUCGUAGUUGAAUUUCGGGAUCAAAUUGUUGGUCGUGCUUCGGUACGCACUGGCAUUAUUGGUUCCUACCUUCUGAAGAACCGCGAUGUCAUUAAUUUGGUGUCGUGGGGAAUCAGGACUGUUACUUUGAAAAAAUUAGAGUGUUUAAAGCAGGCGCACGCUUGAAUGCAUUAGCAUGGAAUAAUGAAAUAGGACGUUUGAUUCUAUUUUGUUGGUUUCUAGGAUCGACGUAAUGAUUAAUAGGGAUAGUUGGGGGCAUUAGUAUUCAAUUGUCAGAGGUGAAAUUCUUGGAUUUAUUGAAGACUAACUACUGCGAAAGCAUUUGCCAAGGAUGUUUUCAUUAAUCAAGAACGAAAGUUAGGGGAUCGAAGACGAUCCGAUACCGUCGUAGUCUUAACCAUAAACUAUGCCGACUAGGGAUCGGAUGAUGUUAAUUUUUUUAAUGACUCAUUCGGCGCCUUACGGGAAACCAAAGUGUUUGGGUUC
rnacentral:rRNA from 1 species